UAAACUGCCUACCUCAGAUAA
ensembl:piRNA 21ur-9358 ncRNA